ensembl:lncRNA
AGGCAGGACAGCAGGGAGGGAUUUACAAGCUAGAGCAAGCUGCAGGUAGGAAGUGCGCCUGAUGUUUGUGAGGGUACGAGAGGACUACAGUGCACAAUACGUCAACUCCGUCAUUGCCAUUUCAUUAUCAGAAAUCAGUAGCGUCUCCGAGUAUGAGGAGUCUGAUGGCGUCGGGGAAGAAAUGGCUACACAUUCUGGCCGUGAGGGCCCGAAUGCCUCGUACCUUUUUCCAGACAGCAGGAGGGUGAACAACGUGUGUGAAGGGUGUGUAGGAUCAUCCACAAUGCUGGAGGCUUUGCAGAUACAGCAUGUGGUGUAAAUGUCUAUGAUGGAGGAAAAAAGAGACCCUGAUGAUCUUCUCAGCUGUCCUCACUAUCCUCUGCAGGGUCUUGCUGAUCCGUGUGUGUAUGACAUCAUUAACAACAUGGCCUCAAAAAAACAUCCCAAAACUGGUGCAGUAGUCCAUUGCUUGAAACGAGCCCGUUAAAGUGUGAGAUCUUGAUGGGCUCUGCAGCACCUGCCCCUAUGAACGAGCCACCGCUGCUAAACCGAAGAAUUAAACAGAGUUCGGCUACACCAACAUUCAACAGCUUUUCCCAAGCCGCAACUCGUAUUUCAUUUAAGCAUUUUUCUGCACUUUUUCCACCUCGAGUGUGCUUUAUUGGAAGUAUUGCAGUCAUCAGAUUAUUUUGGACAUUACUGUGGAACAAAUUUACUUGUGAAGGUCUCUGAGGUUGAUCUUGAACAAAUGAAGCGUAUAAAUUUUUUUUUUUUUUUUUUUUUUUUUUUAAAUCACAUUUUGCUGGCUUUUACUUGACAUGAAAAUCCUUUCCCUGUUCCAAAGUAACAGAAUUUUAGCGCCGGUUUCAUCAAAAUUCUAUUACGAUUAGAAAUACGAUGAGGUCAGAUGGAAAGGACAGUAGUUAAAAAUAAUUAACAUACAUAGAGAUAGAUGCUCUGUUUGCUUUGGAACAACUAUUUGGAAUCAGAUAGAGUAUCACCAUUAAAGGGCUUCCAGUGUCACCGUGUGGUAAAUAUUUACAGUGGGAUGGAAGGAACGUGGAUGUUAAACGGAGGCCCGAAGCUGAGCGAAAUGACGUGCCUUAUACGCACAGGCUGCUUGAGAUUUAACAUUCGGGGAGAGGUUAUUUUUACCCGUUAAUAAAAAUAAUAAACAGGCCCCAGCAUGUAGCUGGUGUCUCAAUAGCGAGCUGUUGUAUCCCAUCAGGCAUUGCUCCGUGUUUGGAAUGCUGAGAGCAGGAAGUGAUUGUGGUCGCUGUGGUUAUGGGAGAGUGAAGGCGAUAGCGCUGCAGAACAUGCCAUUCAGAUAUUUAUUUUUAUUAUGGAUUUUACCCAGAAUACCCUCUAAAUGAGAUCUUCAAAUUAUAGAUUGUGAUACAAAUGUUGCGUUUCAUCAUGUAUCGGUGUUUACAGUGUCCACACGGGCGAACAUUUCAUCAGCAAAGAAAUUUGGGAAGGAAGUUUGCCACAAAAAUUAUUUCAUGAAAAACUCCAGUAAUUAAUAAUAACUGAGGACAGAACUGUUAACCUUUAAAUCUGUGUCUCCGUCUCGCUC